rnacentral:rRNA from 1 species
AUUGAGCGCUGGCGGCAUGCUUUACACAUGCAAGUCGAACGGUAACAGGGAGCUUGCUCCGCUGACGAGUGGCGAACGGGUGAGUAAUGCGUCGGAACGUGCCGAGUAGUGGGGGAUAACGCAUCGAAAGGUGUGCUAAUACCGCAUACGUACUGAGGUAGAAAGUGGGGGACCUUCGGGCCUCACGCUAUUGGAGCGGCCGAUGGCUGAUUAGCUAGUUGGUAGGGUAAAGGCCUACCAAGGCAACGAUCAGUAGCGGGUCUUAGAGGACGAUCCGCCACACUGGAACUGAGACACGGUCCAGACUCCUACGGGAGGCAGCAGUGGGGAAUCUUGGACAAUGGGCGCAAGCCUGAUCCAGCAAUGCCGCGUGCGUGAAGAAGGCCUUCGGGUUGUAAAGCGCUUUUGUCAGGGAGCAAAUCCUUGUGGCUAAUACCCACCGGGGAUGAGAGUACCUGAAGAAUAAGGACCGGCUAACUACGUGCCAGCCGCCGCGGUAAGAC